rnacentral:rRNA from 1 species
GACGAACGCUGGCGGCGUGCUUAACACAUGCAAGUCGAACGGAAAGGCCCUGCUUUUGUGGGGUGCUCGAGUGGCGAACGGGUGAGUAACACGUGAGUAACCUGCCCUUGACUUUGGGAUAACUUCAGGAAACUGGGGCUAAUACCGGAUAGGAGCUCCUGCUGCAUGGUGGGGGUUGGAAAGUUUCGGCGGUUGGGGAUGGACUCGCGGCUUAUCAGCUUGUUGGUGGGGUAGUGGCUUACCAAGGCUUUGACGGGUAGCCGGCCUGAGAGGGUGGCCGGCGACAUUGGGACUGAGAUACGGCCCAGACUCGUACGGGAGGCAGCAGUGGGGAAUAUUGCACAAUGGGCGGAAGCCUGAUGCAGCAACGCCGCGUGCGGGAUGACGGCCUUCGGGUUGUAAACCGCUUUCGCCUGUGACGAAGCGUGAGUGACGGUAAUGGGUAAAGAAGCACCGGCUAACUACGUG